rnacentral:rRNA from 1 species
UACGAAGGGGGCUAGCGUUGUUCGGAUUUACUGGGCGUAAAGCGCACGUAGGCGGAUCGUUAAGUCGGGGGUGAAAUCCUGGAGCUCAACUCCAGAACUGCCUUCGAUACUGGCGAUCUAGAGUCCGGAAGAGGUGAGUGGAACUCCUGGUGUAGAGGUGGAAUUCGUAGAUAUUAGGAAGAACACCAGUGGCGAAGGCGACUCACUGGUCCGGUACUGACGCUGAGGUGCGAAAGCGUGGGGAGCAAACAGG